rnacentral:rRNA from 1 species
GGUGGAUCAGUGGCGAACGGGUGAGUAACACGUGAGCAACCUGCCCUGGACUCUGGGAUAAGCGCUGGAAACGGCGUCUAAUACUGGAUAUGAGCUCUCAUCGCAUGGUGGGGGUUGGAAAGAUUUUUCGGUCUGGGAUGGGCUCGCGGCCUAUCAGCUUGUUGGUGAGGUAAUGGCUCACCAAGGCGUCGACGGGUAGCCGGCCUGAGAGGGUGACCGGCCACACUGGGACUGAGACACGGCCCAGACUCCUACGGGAGGCAGCAGUGGGGAAUAUUGCACAAUGGGCGGAAGCCUGAUGCAGCAACGCCGCGUGAGGGAUGACGGCCUUCGGGUUGUAAACCUCUUUUAGCAGGGAAGAAGCGAGAGUGACGGUACCUGCAGAAAAAGCGCCGGCUAACUACGUGCCAGCAGCCGCGGUAAUACGUAGGGCGCAAGCGUUAUCCGGAAUUAUUGGGCGUAAAGAGCUCGUAGGCGGUUUGUCGCGUCUGCUGUGAAAUCCCGAGGCUCAACCUCGGGCCUGCAGUGGGUACGGGCAGACUAGAGUGCGGUAGGGGAGAUUGGAAUUCCUGGUGUAGCGGUGGAAUGCGCAGAUAUCAGGAGGAACACCGAUGGCGAAGGCAGAUCUCUGGGCCGUAACUGACGCUGAGGAGCGAAAGGGUGGGGAGCAAACAGGCUUAGAUACCCUGGUAGUCCACCCCGUAAACGUUGGGAACUAGUUGUGGGGACCAUUCCACGGUUUCCGUGACGCAGCUAACGCAUUAAGUUCCCCGCCUGGGGAGUACGGCCGCAAGGCUAAAACUCAAAGGAAUUGACGGGGACCCGCACAAGCGGCGGAGCAUGCGGAUUAAUUCGAUGCAACGCGAAGAACCUUACCAAGGCUUGACAUACACCAGAACACCGUAGAAAUACGGGACUCUUUGGACACUGGUGAACAGGUGGUGCAUGGUUGUCGUCAGCUCGUGUCGUGAGAUGUUGGGUUAAGUCCCGCAACGAGCGCAACCCUCGUUCUAUGUUGCCAGCACGUAAUGGUGGGAACUCAUGGGAUACUGCCGGGGUCAACUCGGAGGAAGGUGGGGAUGACGUCAAAUCAUCAUGCCCCUUAUGUCUUGGGCUUCACGCAUGCUACAAUGGCCGGUACAAAGGGCUGCAAUACCGUGAGGUGGAGCGAAUCCCAAAAAGCCGGUCCCAGUUCGGAUUGAGGUCUGCAACUCGACCUCAUGAAGUCGGAGUCGCUAGUAAUCGCAGAUCAGCAACGCUGCGGUGAAUACGUUCCCGGGUCUUGUACACACCGCCCGUCAAGUCAUGAAAGUCGGUAACACCUGAAGCCGGUGGCCCAACCCUUGUGGAGGGAGCCGUCGAAGGUG